CCGGGGCCGCUCCGAGUGCGCGGUGCGGGGCUGCGGCACGGUUCUGUUCGCGCCUUGCGUGGCGUGAGGGCGCCGGUCGGGCACGUGGGGCAGAGCGGGAUUUCUGGAGGGGUGGAAUCUCCAGAAAGCAGCUGGGAGCUGUGAGACCAGCCCCACACUUUGUGCGUCGUGUGUGAGCUUGACAUGAUCUCGAUCUAAUGUGGUAAUGAGAAUCUGAAAGGGGCCUAAGCUGUCCGUGGCACCCACUGAGAAGUUUGUUAAGGGUUGGUCCAUGUUGGCCAUGUUUCCAAGCUCUCCGUGGGGAGGCUGUGCCAGAUGAGAUGGAAGAAGGCUGGGGAGCUGCUGGACAAUGGCUUACACAGGGAAAUCCAGGCAAGUGCAGAAAUGCAUUGCUGUUUUGCCACAGAAAUGGAAGAAUCAGUAAUACUGCUGAUAACCUGAAUAUUACUUGUAGCCAUGGUAAAGAAACAUUGGUGCUGGCUGCCCAGGGAAGUGCUUGAGUCCCCAUCCCUGCAGGAAUUUAGAAAAUGUCUGGAUGUGGCACUUAGGGACAUGGUUUAAUGGUGGACUAGAUCUUAGAGAUCUUUUCUGACCUGAAUGCUUCUGUGAUUCACCGUGUUAACUCACCAGAAAGAUAAAAAUUCUUUUCCUGUUCAUAAAUUUUCUAGUGAUUUUUGUCAGGACACACAGUUGAGUUCAGUAAGCCUCAUCUCUUCUCAUAAAGCAUGACUAAAAUCUUUGUCAUGAGGAAACUUUUCCUUUCAUGAGCAGAGGUAUAAUAAUUUGUUUUGUGAUUCACAUAACUACAGACUAUGUCUACGGUAGCUGUUCAUGUGGAGUAGCAAGUUAGUAUAGUUGUAGUACAGGUUAGUUUUAGACCUGGAUGGUUUGUUUUAAAUGUAAAUGGGAGGUGAGAAAUAACAAGGUCAUAACACUUAUUAAGCCAUUAUUCAGGCAGCUAGUGAUGUUCACCCCACCUUAACAGGAAGAUGUAAAGGCUGUAGAAUUAAGGAUGUGACAGGCUGGUUUUUAGAGGUAAGACUUCACUGCAUCUUAAUGAUGCCCUGUAAGGGAAAAAAAAGUAUGCAGCAUGAAUUAAGUCUUCACAUGACACUGAACUGUUAACACUUUCAUAGAAAUCUGUGAUAAGUGUAAUUUUGUAUUAGUAAUACUCUUCCCAGAACAUCAGCUAUGAGAAAAAAUUCCUUUUUAUCUGCAAGACAGCCUAGUAUUUUUCAUAGUAGUUGUAGAUACUGUUUACUUUGAUACCUACAUAUCACUGAUGGCAUAGAUAAUCUCUAAUGGUGAAAACUAUCCUCCUGUAUUGUUUUUCCCAUAAUAACAGUGUGGGUUUCACCAAGGCCUGUUCAAACUUGCCACUGGUUUCUCCUCCUGACAGUCAGAUUACAGAGCUGCAGUGGAAGGCCCUCAGCAUCCAAGGCCCCAUACAGUGCUUGGUUUUAGCUGAUGGAUUACUGUCUGCAAGAAACAGGUAACAAAGGACAGGACAAGAGGACACAGUCUAAAGUUGUGCCUGGGAAGGUUUAGGUUGAAUAUUGUAAUAUUUGAAGAAUUGAAUUAUAGUAUCUGAAGAAUUUCUUCACAGAAAGGGCGAUCCCUGGUGGAAGUGUUUAAGAAAAGACUGGAUUUGACACUCAGUGCCAUGGCUUAGUUGACACGGUGGUGUUCAGUCAUAGGUUGGACUCAGUGAUCUUGAAGAAUCACAGAAAAAGCUGAGUUGGAGGGGACCCUCAAGGAUCAAGUCCAACUCCUGGCCCUACACAGGACCAUACCCAAGAGUCACACCAUAUGCCCAAGAGCAUUGUCCAAAUGCUGCUUGAAUUCUGUCAGGCUGGUGCUGUGACCACUUCCCAGGGGAGCCUGUUCCAGUGCCCAGCCACCCUCCGGGUGAAAAACCUUUCCCCAACAUCCAGGCUAAACCUCUCUUGAUGCAACUUCAGGCCAUUCCCUUGGAUCCUGGUAGCUUCACAUCUGAAAAGGACUCUACAUGCCAGUGAACAGUAAGCAGGGCUUACUGUAUAUUCUUUUUCUAUCCUUGACUGUUGGAUCAGUUUAGGUUCAAUUAUAAAAUAUUAAGCAGUUAUAGAAUAAUUGUACAGGAAAAUCUGAGUUGAAGGUGAUACAUAUAUCAAUAGACUUUUUGAAACUAUAAUUUGAAAACCAUCUGAAGUUGAUAUAAAUCUGGUUAUAGGCAUGAGUUUAAUGACCUCUGUUUCAGAUACAGUUUCUGUCUUUGGAUUUAAAUACUUGCUUCUCUUUUCAAUGUUCAGGAAAUGAAGCUUGAAACUAUCUUACCUUAAGAUAUUUACCUCCAAGUUUCAAUAUUUUAAAAUCUUUUUAAAACCUUUUUAAUUCAUAGAAAAUUGAGAGGAUUUUUUUUUAAUGAGGACUUUGGUAAAAGGGUUGUAAACUUUAAGCUUUAUGUAGCAAGUGGGUACAUUUCUUGAAAUGUAAGAUAUUCUCUGAGCUUUUUCUGAGUAAGGGAGGGUAAAAUAAUUUUUUGUCACAUUCAUGUACGUGAGGCAGGACCUGCAGAAGUUUACCAGUUUCUGUGGAAUAAAUUUCCAUUAUGUUUUCGUCUUUUAUUAUAUUGUAAACUUUUUAUUACUGCUUUAUUUGCCAGUCCAUUUGUUUUUAUUUUCGUACUGUAUUGUUGGUCAUGUUUCUUUCAGUAAUUAUGACACUUUAUGUAUACUAUGUUGCUCUAAUAAGGGCUGCAAAUGUGUAACAUUCACAACCCUAAAUUUGACUCCUAAGUACAGGAUUCUAAGGUACCUAAGCAAAAGUAAUACCCAAAUUCAACCACAGUAUGCUCUGCUUGCCCUCUAGGUUCAUUAGGAUCUGGUCAGCUCUGACCCAGAAGUCCACAUCUCUUAACAUAAGCAUGACACAACCUUCUUAGAAGCCCUGCUAACUGGAACACAAAUAGAUAGACCAAUCCCACAGUAAAUUAGUGCUCAAGUAAACUGUAUAAAGAGCUUAGGGGGAGAAACAAGGAGGAACAGGGAAGGAGAGAUGUAUAAUGCUUCAUACAUGUUCUGUCUUUUUUAGGUUCAAAAUCCAUAGCUCUGUAAUCAGGUGGUGGACCUGGCCAAUCACUUCACAGAAAAGAGUUCAGUCAGAAAAAGGCAGAAGGGAGCUGUAUUUCUUCUACUUAUUAUUUUUCUAUGUACAUUUUUUUUUAAAAAAAACAGGCCUACACCCUGGCUUAGGUUGCCAAAUACAUAAUUUCGUCUGCAUGGGGUAGCAUUCUCGUGUAGCAGGGCGGAAUUUUAAGAGAAGAGAGCCUGAGGGUUGUUGUUCAGGAAAGUGGACAGGGCAGAUGACAUACUGUGAGCAUAUGGACUGGACAUUGAUUUCAGGUAACUUAGGAAGAGCUUACAAUUAAAACCAGAGACAGUCUUUAUGUUUCCUGGCAGCUGCAUAUUUAGCUGCAUUUACUGAAGGAAUAAUUUGUCAUUUCAGAAUUGUUGUCUGCUGUCAGCCUUCUCAAUUGAUUGGAGUCUAGGCUGGCCCUGGUAGCAUGGAGGAUGGGAUGUCAGAGAUCAGAGCCCUGUGUCCAUUCUCCAGUUCUGUUGUAGGGCAGGACGGGGGCUGCCAGGCUGUGUUCUGCCUUCCUGUAGUGGUUUCACAGAAGUGAGUGGCUUGGAGAGGGGUGGUGGUGAAUAUUUGCAGGCAGUGCUAAGUGCCUUCCUGUGGGAGUCUCUGGACUAUAUAAAAUGGGUUACAGGGCAAUCUGGAGAUGUCAGCUGAGCAUGCUGUAUAAAUGCAGGCAGUAUAUUUCACAGAUGGGUGAGGAUUGUACCUUACUGUACCUGUCUUCAUGAGGUCGUGAUAAUGGUCACAGUCACCAUGGCAAAUCCUACAAAAAAGCUGUAUUCACAAUAGUGUAAUACAUCCACAGCCUUGUGCAUUAGUGUCAGACAGGAUUUGUUCAGAAAGGAUGGGACUGUGCAACAGGAUACAUGACAGAAUACUACCCUGUAAUGUUCAUGGGCAAGGCAGAGCAACCAACAGCCAUAGUGGAUCUGGUUACUUGGGUUGGUUCAAGAACCAACAAGAUGAGUGUUUUCAUUCUAUUAGAUUAUCUCACAUGGACUUGCUCACCCCCAGCAUUUCCUGGCUGGAAAGGGAAGCCAGUCUUGGCUUCCCUUCCCAGCAGGGAGGUCAUGGCUGGUCCAGGAAUGCUGGAGCCAAAGCCAUGUUGGAUCUUUGUGUGCCACUGCUUGUGGCUACUGGCCUCAGUCAUUACAGACCAAGGUCCCUGAGCACCCCCUGGCAGUUGUUUCCACACAUACCCCCUGACCCCUGAGAUCUUUACUCCAGCUGAGAUUUUCACUGCCUUCUUUCCAGGCCUCUUUUUUUUUUUUUUUUCCUCCAAAGCAUGUCUUUUUUUUUUUUUUUUAAAACCUUCUUUGAGGCCCCUCAUCUCCCAUUUUCUCAAGUAGUCUGUGUAUAAACACAAUGCAUGAUCAGCCUCCUAAUUGGGGGUUCUGUCUCUGUAUUAAUUGGAGGAGUUGGGAUAUGCUGCUGUUCAGUCACAAUGUUAUCAAAAUUUAUAUCCAGAUUGUACUGGUUGCCAGUGGAAACUAGCAGUCUUCCUGAGGGUAUAAAGUUCAGUUUCAGAUAUUCACGCUGGUAUAGACACAUUCAUCACCUGCUUGCUAUUGCUUAAUUUAUUUUUUUUUCCUGCAACAGCAAUGCACCAAAGAUGCCUGAAAAUACAAAAAGAAACGCUGCCUGUUCUCGGGCUUUGUCCAUGGGAAGUGGACUGCGUCACCAUGCUAACCACAAGAAAAACAUUCCAAUCUUACAGUGUUCCCUGUACUCAUCUCAAAUUAACUUCUCCAGGAGGGAUAACAUUUUAGGCGCAUUUGUUGAGGAGGAAAAUUGAAGCAGGGAGAUGAUAAAGACUUACUGAGAGCUAGCACAAUAGCUUGGUGGCAGGACCAGGAAAAGAGGAAGAGAUCUGACCUCACUCUGGUCUCUUGGAGUACUUAAUUGUUGUAGGGGCCUCCAGUCGGUAAUGAGUCUAAGACAGUGGAAAGCACAAUUUCUCACGGGGGCGGGGGUUGUGGUGAAGAUGUUCAUUUCUCUCCUUUUGUUUGAGAGCUGUCUUUGAAGGCAUUGUUCUUCCACAGCUGCAGUAGCCUACAUUCAUUGUGAUAAUUGUGGGACAAUACACAGAAUGGAUGAUUGAUACAUGAGAUAAAGUUGUGUAAGAAUAUUACUAGACGAUCAUAUGGAGAUAAUAAAUUACACAAAGACAGCUCAAAGAAAUAAGCUAAGGACAAUUUUAGUGGGGUACAGUGUGGGAGAUGGCACAACAGAUCCAAAUAGGGAUAAAAAUGAGUAAGAGAAACAGCAACUAAAACAUUUGCUGGAACAAGUCAUAUAACAAGACAUGAGUUAAAGUAUUAAAGGUAGGUGAGUAGCUCAUGGGCAGAAAAGGAAACAAAUUCUCUGUGCUCAUGAAGAGCCCUGUACUGGCUAUGUACCAUGCCAUCUUUUUUUUUUUUUUUCCAUAUAAGAAGGAGGUAUAAGUGCACUUCUUUCUUUUGGUAGGAAAUCCAGGUUUAGUUAUGGGUGUGGAUAUUUAGGAGGUUGAGUCCGAGAGUCACCGCAAAGCUUGCAGACCAGCCUGGACGUAUUCAAAGAGUCAAUAAGAUGCCAUAGUAAAGAGAUUGCUGCCUUACAAAAGGUGAGGUGAACUCAGUGCUUUCAAAGCAGAACACCUAUUUGUGUUCCUGUCAGAAGGGUGUAAGAUAUAGAAAGCAAAGAACAGGCAAAGUUUGGUUUGGAUUUUAUUUUAUUUUUAAAUUAUUUUUUGAGGCACCCUUUAUAAAUUUAUUGCUAGUUCCAUGUUAAGAUGUUUGAGAGACAGGCUUUCUUACAUUUUCCAGCUCUUCUGAAUUAUCACUGUUUAUCAAUCAUACUGUAUGGCCUUGACAGUUUGAACUCCCAGUGAAUGUAGUUUUAAGAACACCUUGAAAAUUUUUAUAAUGAAAGAGUAGAUUAAAAAGGGAAGAUGCAAUUGUUACUACUAAAGGAGUAUCUGAAAUAAAGAUACUCGCUUAUUAUUAACAUUCCUCUACUGAGUCUACCACUUAAGUUUUUUAGCAGAUAUGUGAUAAACAUGGCUGCUUCAGGAAGAUGCAGUGGAAGAAAUGGUUUAGGCACUUCUGUCAACUGACCACCCUGUGGCCGUGGGCUUCUCUUCCAUCUGAGAACAAUAGCUACUCCAUAAUGUGAUUGCCUCUGUGAGCUUGCUCAGAAUCCCUGCUCUGAAUGCAGCCUCAGCCAGGAAGGUGAAGGGGAAGCUGACUUUCCUUUUUCACUGUUGUUCUUCUAAUACAAAUGUUGAUCUCUACAAUAUGUAUUACAGCUUUCAGUCAACAGACUAUGAUGUCUUAGAUCUCAAUAAUUAUGCCCUCCUUGCCUAACAAGACUGGUAUUUCUAAAUGUCUGGUAUAUCCAAUAGACAGGUUGUCUAUGGCAUGAUAUAAUCUUAAGGAGUUUGAUCCAAACUUGUUGAAGGCAGUGGGAUUUGUCUGUUGACUUCAGUGGUUUUUAAGGGGUCUGAAACAGAUAGAGGAUUUGGACCAGAGCAUAAGUUUAACAGCCAAUACUGCCUGCAGCAGCACAGCAUUUUCACCACUAUGUUAAAUCACCUUAAGACAUUCUUCCCCUCCUAAAAUACUGAAAACAUUUCAGUAGCCUAUGCUAAUCUUUUUUGCAAUAUUCUUAUUUCUGAAAUAUCAUGAGCAUCAUGAGCUACAUACUGGCACAGAAUGUUGUGAAACUUACAUGUUUUAAAUUUUGAAGGAAGGUUCAUUCAUGACGUCAUGUGUUAAGUUUCGUCCCCAAGGGAAGGUGCGUGUGUGGUUUUUGUUUUGCUUCUUUUGGCUGGUUAUUUUUUUUCAAACUGAGUUAUUAGGCCCUGAAAAAUGGAAGUGCUGAUAUAAUCUGAAACAGUAUUUCCUGAAGGGCCCUGUUAGAGCAAUAGCCUAAAAGUCUAAUAAGUCCCAUUGUGAGAGUAAUUUGUCAUUUUAUCCCUACAGGCAAAUUUUUAAAGGUUAGUGAGGGCUAUUUGUCAAAGUUAAAUGCUGCUUUAGGUUUUGUUUCCAAAAACCAGGCAUUUUGUAAAUAUUCCUAGUUGUCCUCCUCAGAUUAUCUUGGUAAAAAAAGUUUGGAAUAGGAUAGAUGGGGAAGAAAGUGUCUGAAGCAAAUUGUUUAUGCACCUACUUAAUUCUGAAGAACAAAUUUGCUGUAUAAAAAGUUUGAACUGAACCUGCACAGUUUUGGUAUCUGUGUAAAAACUCCCUGUGCCAAUAGCCAAUACAUGGAAAAAUGUAGGUAUUUUAAACAGGAUUGGUUUAAAAGGGAAACUACUGCAUUAGUGGCUAAAAGUAUAGGAAUCUUGUUGUUUGUUCUUUUCUAGAUGUGAAUGCUAUCUUGAAAUUCCAAAAUGUUGUCAGGAUAGUUUCAAGUGUUUAUACUUGUUGAUAGAAAUUAAGCUUCCAGUCUAGUGAAUUCCUUCUACUUAACUGAUAGGAUUUAACAUACAAAGUAUUUACAGUAGUAGGAAAAAAGAUACAAGAGAGCUGCCUUUAAAGUAGCAAAAUGACUUGUGGUUAUUGCUUUUUAACAUGUUCUUUAAAGCAUAAUGGUAUGAAAAUGCUUAAAAAUGAAAAUUGUAUUCCAUUUCACUAUGGCACUGGCAUUUUACAGGGAGUUGGGUAAGAACCUUUCUCCUUUUAAAUAGAGCAGUCUAGUGGGGAUUUUGUAUUUUUCAUCAAGUUACUAGUUAUUUUGUCUGACAGUGCACAACUGGAGAGUUGAGAUAGCUGAAUUUAUAGUAAAUAUGUUGUAGACUUCUAGGAUCUGAUUUAAAGUAGCCUGUAGAGAAGUGAUAGUCCUUCUGUGUACCUUGAUAACCAGACACCCCAAUAGAUAAAACAAACACUGAAACAAAAAGGGAGUACUUAUUUUUCCUGAUUUUUUAAUCAGCAAACUCUUCCCUAAAGAUGGAUCAAAUCCUCUUAUUUAAUUUAUUCAGCAUAAAUGAAUUAAAUUGAAACCUGAUUAGCCCACAGUCAGGAGAAUCUCUCUGCAAUGACUUGGAACACUUGCUAGGGAUUAACCCCAAAUCCCAAUUCUUCUUCACUGCCUGUUCUAGUAGCAUCAUUUGUUCAUGGUAAGAUACUUCAGAGUCCUUUCAGAGGUUACUGAAAUACUUACAUGCCUUUAACCUUUCACCGUAUAAGCAUGUUUAAAUGCUUAUGAUUAGACUCAGUUUAUCAGUAAGAAUUUUCUGAGCAUCAGUCUGUGAUUCAGUAUUUAUGAAGUUAAGUGCAUGAAUUGCACUGAAGUAUUAUUUAACUCUAAGCAGUAGAAGAAUUGCUGUGAUUGUAAAGUAGUAAUUCCAUUAGCUUGCUGUCAUAGCUAUGGAUGCGUCUUUUCUGCUAAAGACAAAAGCCCUUGUGAAAGUACUUGCUCAUUAUCCUGAAAUAAUAGGAUAACACUAUGGAAUUCAGUAUGAAAAAUUUUAUUCUUACAUCAACAAUAUGUUAAUGAUAAGCAUAACAUUCGCCUGUUGACAGACUGAUUUCUUCAGAACAAUCAUUACAUAUCUAAUGUUUUUAGAAAUUUUACAAAGAAGUUGUAUUUUUAAGGCCAGAUCAUAGCCAAAAGGUGGCAGUAUUCUAUUCAAUAUUCAUUUACAAAACAGUAUAAAAAUGCAUGUAUUUAUUGACACUUUGCUUCUAAUAUAAGAUCAAAAUGGAUAAUUGUAUCCUAAAAAUAGUGAGCAUUUAUGUAAAGGACUUAUUUAAACUGAAUGUAGAAAUUAAAUUUCUUGCUUAUGCCUUAAAGUUUCCAAAAAAGAAUCUAGUUUGUAAGUUUUAAUUAUUAGGUGUUUAGUGUUUCACAUGAUACCUACAUUGUCACCAAAAGAGAACUUUGUGGCCUGGGGGUUUUUAUGGACUGCAUAAGAACAUUAGAACUUUUUCUGUAAGUGUUGGCAGAGUUAACUGAUUUUACCUUCAAAAAGAAAGAAAUUAAUCUCCACAUGCUUUUAAUAUGAGCCAAAACUGCUGCAUUAAAACCAAUUUGUUUUAUACACCCUAGAGAUUGGUAAUAUUUUUCAUUAAGUAAGUAUGGGCUUUUUUUUUGCUGAGACAACAAUAACUUGAAGAAUUGUUGAAAUAUUGCUUUUCCUGCCUGCCAAGUUGUUUAGCUGUACAUCAGUAGUUUGUGUCAGAAUAGAUUGAGAUUAAAGUUUGACUAUUAGUAGGAGAGAAUGUUUGCAAGUGUAAUUAUGUUCAAGCAAAUAUUUCCAUGUAAAUUUUGAUCCAUAGUUACAUCAGAUGUAAAUAUGAAUUUACUGUAGUUAUAGCGUAAGUUUAAGUCAAAUAAAGUAAAUAAAUAUUCUAUUUUAAUGUAUGAAAUGCUUUUAAAAAUAACUUCUUGUCACAGUCUUUUAAAAAUAUUUAAGAAUGAAAGAUCUUUUCUCCAAAUAUUGGCCACUCCAGUUUCCUGUUAAUAUUUUUCAUCUUUUUUUUUCAGUGCUGAAAAGUUUUGAUAAAUGUUAUAUGCGAAAUGGAAAAAAACUUGAUUCAGUGGGCAGGACAUGGGAAAUCCAAUUGAAAUGGUACUGCUUUUUAACAUGCUUUGGUAUUCACCUUCAGUAGAAUACAAUUCACACCUAUCAAUCUUUUGUAAUGUCAAGCAAAACAUGGUACAGUUCUCAAGGGAACUGGAAUUAAUAAGUCUUUUGGUACAUCACUGACUUCUCUGUUUUGCCACUUAAUUUUCUCCAAUAGCCCACUCAUUGAAUCUUUGAAGGCAGUUUCUUUUUCCAGAAAAAAAGGAUGUGGCACAUUUUUAUUCAAGAAUCAUUUUGGUGUUCUCACAUGGACAGGAAGGUGAUGUGAAAUUUAAUUCUUUAUGUAAUCAAAUAAGGCAGAGCAUUGUAUCAGUAGCACAAACUCUGGAAACAUCAUGAAGGUAAGAAUUAAGGUGUUGGACAAAUAUAGUUGGAUACCACAGAUAUAACUAAGACACUGCUCAGAAAUGGACCAAAAUGGAUGAUGUUAUGUUUUUACCAACAAAUCAUCAGUUUUAAACAAAAAGUCUUAAGGAAGAGAAGUGUGCAAAUGCUGACUUUGCUAAUAAUCUGUUUCCUGCUGGGCUCCAGUGUUUGUGAUCCAUCUGCUUCUAGAAGUUUAUUCCCAAAGCGUAUUUUAGAAAAGCUUACUUGUAUAGAAUGGCCUAGAAAUUUCCUGAACUUAUUCUGGGAACAAAUCCAGAUAGUGAAAACUGUGGGAUAUAUUCUUGUAUAUGGAUAUUGAAAAGAACCAUUGCUUAUGGCAGUGUGUUCCCAAGACAUUGAAUAUAUAUCCCUAGAGGAGCGGAGAGAAAUCUUGUCAGUGAUGCGUCACAGCUUAAGCAAAUUUGGUCAGGAAGAACAGCACAACUACAGCAAUAAUAUUUUUUUACAUUACACUUCAAAUUAUAUGAGCACAUCUCCAUCUAAAAGCAACAGCAUAUGCUUUCAGUAAAGUGUAAUUGUCCUAGCAAUCCCCAUGUUGGAGAAUAUGCUUUAUGCAUGUGCAGUUACAUAGGAGAGCAAAUGAUGCUCACUGUUUUAUUUUUGUAAUUACACUGGGGGGGGUGGGGCAUUUGCAUUAAGGUAUUAAUCUUAAGGGUAAACUUCUUUGUGAUAGUAUGUAAAUAGAGUUCUAGGUUUAUGUUUUGUCUGCUAAGAGAAGGAUGAGCUUCCUUAAUGAAACAGAGCAAGGAGUAGAAGGGUUUGGAAGAUUUUUGUGUUCAUGCACAGGAAGAGGUUUUGCAUCUGCUGAAUGCUCUACACCAUAUAUUUGCUGCUGUGCAUGACCAGUGCCUAUGCACUUGUUUCUAGGGGCUGCUUGUUCUGCACUCUAGAGGGGCCAUGGUUUCCUGCUGAACUUCUGCCUUUGCCAACACCCUGUUUUGUCCUGAUGCCAAAUGCAGCAGUAGGUGGAAUGGGAGACUCUGCACAUGGAUGGCCGUUCCUGUGGCAUCCAUGCAUGUGUUGCAUCAUGUAUUGCUCAUCGGGUGAAGACUAUCCCUAAGGCUUGCUAACAUUUGAGUAAACUUGAAAAUGUUUGUCCUCUGUGUUCCUCCAAGAAAAACUUGUGAUGUGCCAUAAAUAAGCAGUUAUUACAAAACUGUGUUGGUGUUUCUGUACUAGACCUUUUAGGAGAUAGAUUACAGCAAUAUUUCCAAGCUUUAGUUCUGAUCAAACAGACUUGUUUAACUUUAAUAGAUUUCAUUGGUGAGCAAAAUUUGUCAAAGUGUAGUUUAUUACAGUUGUAUGCCUCUACUCAGGAUCGCUUCUGGGGAAUGAAGGCAGGGCAGGACAUAGGUUCCAGGAAAUAUUGUGCCUCUUAGGAGAUUUGAUAUUAUUUAACUUGGGCAAUAAAAUGCAAAUCAGUCUGCAAGGGAAAUAUAAUUCAUAUGAAACAGUGCCCAGCUCUCUUGGAAGUUAUAGGGAGACUUCUCAGGGACUGAAAUGGAGUUGGAUACGCUGCACCUCCUCUGAAGAUGCUAUUAACAAUGUCAUUGCUAAAGAACUUACAGACUGUGUCACUGGUCCUGUGCUGUUUGUGUGCUCUGAAUUUGCUGUGAAAUAGUAAAACUCCGUUUUUUUCCUGACAUUUUUCUCAGGUCACACAUUUUGGAGAAAUACAUUUGGCGAAUGUCAUCAUGCACUUAAUAUAUAUUUUUCUCUAGAGGAUUUGGGGCUUUGUUUUGAGGGCUGCUUUUAAUUAUGCUGUAUGCUUAAUUACAGUAUUUUAAAUUUCCAUUUUUCUACCUAAAAUUUGAAUGUUUUCAGGACAUUUUUCUAUUUUUUGAGAAAUUUCCAGUUUUCCAAUUUCAGUUGCACUGUACAAGGGAUAAGUGUCUUGUUUAAUUCAUUACAUUUUCCUUCAGGUAUAUAUAGGAGAGACUUGAAAGAGAAUUAUUUCUUGCUGGAGCUUUAAACUGGCAGCCCAUAGUGGAACCUUUUGAGGUGGGCUUUGCUGGCUUUUUAGAGAAUUUAAAAUCGUAGAACUGGUAAGAUACUAAGAUAGGAUUGUUUAAACUUUUGCCUCCUAUGAGCAUGAUCUGGUAAAUCUUUAGUGCAAAUGCUCAUAUGGACAGCUUUUCUUGCCUGCAACUUCCUUUAUAUCAUAUGUAGUAAUUUCUGAGAUCACGUGUGAGUCAGUUUUUAAGCUGGCUCACGAAAGAAGCAGGGCUUCUGCUGUCAUGCCACAGGGACCCCUGUUCAUCCCUUUGUAACCUGCAGGUCAAAUCAGUUUAAAAGUGGGGUAGAGAUACCAGAAGGGAAAAUCUUCUGCAGUAAUUCCAGGGACUGAAGACAACCCCUGCACUUACUUGUUCAUCUGCCAGAGAAUGAGAACUUGAUUUUCAGCAGGCUUUCCUGGCAGCCAAGUAGAGCUACACUUGUAUCAGAUCAUCGGGCAGGUAACUAGUGACAAAAAUGUAGAGCAAUACAAGAGUCUCUUACCCAACAGAAAACCAAGACAAGUAGACAGGGAGGACUUGAAGAUAUGAUUUCAAAAUAUGUGUGUAUGUUAAGAAGCAGGAGGAACUGUUGAUGUUCAACCCUGAGUAGCAAAGACAAAAUCAGCUUUUCCUGUUCAAGAAAUAUUUGAUUGCAGCGAAUCAAGUGCAACAAAUUUUCAACUCUUAUUAUUAAUUGGUAUCUAAUGUAUCUACAGUUGAAAAUGUGCUCCUCUACUCAGCGCUAGUGAGGCUGCAUCUUGAGUAUUGUGUCCAGUUCUGAGUUCCUCAUUACAGGAGAGACAUGGAGGUCCUGGAGCUGGUCCAGCUGAGGGCUACAAAGAUGAUUAAGAAUCUGGAGCUUUUAUGAGGAAAGGCUUAAAUACGGGGGCCUAUUCAGCCUUGAGAAGAGGUGACUGAGAGGGGACAUCAUAAAUGUCUACAAGUAUUGGAAGGGAGGAUGUCCAGGCAUAGAUCCAGACUCUUCUCAGUGGAGCCAAGCAGUAGGAUAAGAGGCAAUGGGCAGAAACUGAUGCACAGGAAGUUCUACCUGAACAUGAGGAAGAACUUCUUUACUGUGCAGAUGACCACAUACUGAAAGAGAUUUGUCCUCUCUCCAACAGAGAGAUUGUGGAGUCUCCCUCAAGAACCAUCUGGACAUAAUCCUGUGCUAUGUGCUCUUAGAUGACACUGCUUGAGGUGGGAGGUUGUACCAGAUGACCCACUAGGUUCCCUUACCCAUUCUUUGAAUAUAUAGCCACACAAGGUAAAGGAAUUUAACAUCCAAGAACUUAGCACUCUUGGAAAAUUACUGUCAGUUUUGUGGACUUCUGUGCUGAGUCUCAGUCAUCCUAAAUUUUUCUGAAAUUAUUAAAAAAUCUAAAUAGUAGAACUUUAAAAUGUUGAAAAUACUCAGGGAAAAAUACACCCUCUAAAAAGACAAGGCACAUCCAUAUGGUUGAUGAAGCUUAAAAUACCUUACUUGAUCUUUCUGGCAACCAGCCUGUAAUCAGUCUGCAACAAGACCUUUCUAUGUAUCAGACUUUAGGAACUGCUGAACUCACAAGAAAUAUAAAAGUAGAAGUGAACUUGUUCAUAUUUCUUUUCCCAUAGUGGUGAAGUAAUGAUCUAAUACAUGACUGAGAGGAAAGGUAUGGGCAGUGCUGCUUGAAAUCAUGACCCCAAGGGCCUUGCUCUUUUGGGUUUAGGUCAAAGCUAUAGUAAAGGUGGUGUUUUCUAUUCCCUUAAAAGGAUGUCUGUGCUGCUAACGCAGGCCCUUGAGGCAUGAUUAGUUACUCAGAAGAAAAUGCUUGUCCUCCGAUUGGCAAAAUGUGUGUAGAAAUCACAGCUGUUACUACAAAUAAAAUAACAAUGCACUCAAUAGCUGUAAACUCUGAGCUUGGACAAAAACUGUCUGGCUCUAGCUAUUGCUGUUCUGCAAAUGAAAAUUUCUUUUCAGCUAUGUGUUGCUUUGUCCUGCCUAAGGAUAAAAGGGUAUAGAUUUUGAAACAUUGGACUGUUUAUAUAGGUACAAUAUUUAAUGAUAUCCCUUAAUGGAAAUGUUCAAGCUGAUUUACUUAAAUGUUGACGAAAAUGGAAACAAUGUCUGAUUUUCAGAGAAAAGCCAGUAGACUGGCUGCCUGCUUGAGAACAGAAACUCACGUGAAACCCCCCAAAGCAGAACACUUUGCAGAUAGUGGGGUUCCAGAGUGUAUAAUACACUUUAGUUGACGGACUAGAAAACACCAAUAGGAUGUCUUACAAAGUGUCUUCAUAUUUUCAUGUGUGCUGCUGGCUAUUCUGUCCCUCCAUAAGUCAGUAUACUUCUAAAGCUUACAAACAGAAUGGUUUAGGCAGUUUCAUGCAGGCUUGAAAAUAAGGGAUGAUUCAACCGGCUGCCUUAUAAACAACAAGACUUCUCAGUUCACUAAAAAUUCACUUUUCCAGGUUUUAAUCAUCAGAGCAGCUUAAAAUACAAUUCAGUGUAUUUGUAUUUUGGUUUCAUUGCUGAUAGCUCAUAUGUCAUCCUAUUUAUAUUAGCUAUGCUGAAAUUAAAAGAGAGUUGUAAGAUCUGGAUCAAGAUAUUAUCUACCUCAUUAAUUGUAAUGGAACUACUCACUGAACAAGUGUGAACGAGACAGAUUAAUGUACAUUUAAAUCCAUGGGUUUAAUGUACAUCUAAAUCCAGUGUAACAGUUUUCAUUGACAAAGAAAAUUAUACAAAGGAAAGUCCUGUUCCUGCAGAUCUUUGUUGCAAACAAAGAACAGCUAACUUCAGGAUAUGUUAAUUAAGGAUUAAAAUUAUCCUGAUGUAUCUCAAGUCAUGUAAAAAAAAGGAAUUGUCUCUUAAGUUGAGAGAAGGGAGUGCAAAAUGAAAUUAAUGCAGGAAAUACCUUUUGGCCCUGAUCAUGCUAGAAGUGUAAUUCUGUGACCAUACUUUUUCAUCAUUUGAUUGAUUGAUCAACUUUUCCUUUAAUGUUCCUUAGAUUUGAUUUUGCCACUGAAAGCAAACAUAAUAAAUAGAAAUGCAGACUAAAUAGAAAUGUGACAAAUACAGAUCAAUUAUAACAAUCCAAAAUGUUGAUUUAGAAAUUCACUGUUCUCCUUGUAGAGCAACAGAAAUAUUUUGUACAGGAAGCACUUGCCAGUAUUGCAGAAAGCCUUUCAGAGCUCAGACAUAAUACAGUAGAUGUAGACUAUAGGAGCAUCAGGGCUAUGAGAAUCUUGUCUUCUAGAGAGUUCCAGCUGUUUAGCACAGAACCAUCCUGAAGCAUAAUAGUAGAAAAAAAGCAUCUUUCAGAUUUAUUUGUCCUCUGAUUGUAAAGCUCUUUGUCCUUACUUGGCACGCAUGUUCAGAGAUGCCAUAUUUCUUCUUUUCAGGUCAGUAUAUAUCCUGGAAUAGGCUAAUCUUCUCCAAAGCCAAAUCUGAACCUGCCCUCUCCUCCAUGAUCAUAGGAAUGUGACUUUGAGCUUAGGGCAAAUUGCAAAACUUCUCUUGUGUACUUCAAGUACAAUGUAGAUACAACUUAUGGAAGUAUGGAAGAGCAGUUGGAUCAGGUUUCAUCCAUUCCUUCUGAGUUUUAAAUGUUCUAAUCACCUUGGUGAUUAAUAAGGUUGUUGGCACAAUCAUCAUGGUGGGUCUUAGCAACAAAACACAAAAUGACUGAAUUCCAAUGAAACCUCAGGACCUAAGCUUGGGAAGUAGUGGCCAUCUCUGAAACCCUGUUUAAUCUGUCACAGCACCCUGAAUUUGACACCGUGAGUGUAACUUCUCUCAAAAAGAGAGAGAUUUUUAGACAUGCCUUUUUUGAUAAUAUCAUUGAGCAAGGAGGAGAAAAAAUUCACUGCAGGUGUGUUCAUGUAAACCAACUUUAGCUGUAGCUUUGGGAAUUUUUUCAGUAGGACAAAAAGCCAAGUGACUGAUUAGCUGCCCCCAUUGACUAGUCUGUCAGGUCUUCCUGCAUGCCAAUCUGAAUUUUGCCUUUAAACUGGAGGAAGUUCUUAGGUCCUUAGUUUUAGAAUUAUUCAAGUUACAGAAUGGUAACCAAAUAAUUAGUAGGCUGAGUAAUUUAAUUCACUGAUGUGCAGAGAAUGCAUGUAAAAAUAGUUUUAAUCAUUACUAAAGAUGUGGAACAUGUGGCUGAAAUGGCAGCUUUUAAUACUGCUUGCAAGUAAAAUAAUCUCAUCUUCCCCAUUGUUUUCAUCUAGAUUUCAUUUAAAUUGUAUUGUUCAAAGGAAGCAUCAAUAAUCAUUCUAGUUUUUCUGCUAUCAUCCGUGUGUCCUCUGUGGCUUGGUACUGCGGGUCUUGAUUAUUGAAUGUUCCUCAUGUCAGUGCAGGACUGUAAUUGGAAAGAGGAAAAGUUGUGAUGCUGCUGUGAGUUGUUCCUAAAGGAAGAGUUGCAAAACCGAGCAGUUCUCUGGGGUCUUGGACUGCAAGUCCCAUAAUGCAGCAUGCCAUAUGUGCAUAGUAAAAUUGCAGACUUUGGUGAAUUUUCAUCAUCUGCACUGAAAAAAAGAAAUAUUUUUAGUGGACCUGUAGGCAGUAUGGAUGGGAAGAUUCAUUAACACGUACUCUAACCAAGUCCCCAUAUUCCCUAACCUUUUCUUUAAGUGGGUAGUUAAACAUUGUUGUCAGAAGUCUGGCACAGUUUGUGAGCAGGAUUCCUUCUGUCAUCCAUUGAUCAGUUGAUAGCUCUUAUGAGGGGCUGCCAGGAGAGAAGGAAAUCACUUGCUGUCUGUACAAAAACAUGUUGGUCCUGGUGCCUGGCCUAUGCAGGCAGACCUGGGAAAAGUGUGCCUGUAUUGGGGUGGAGCCUUUCUGUCACCUUCUCUGUGACAGUUUCUGUGUUUGCACACAGCUUUCUGUCAAGUUGUAAAAUCAAACCAACUUUUUGGAAUUCAGAGCAAGCUCUGAAUUCCAAAAAGUUGGUUUGAUUUUAAAGCUUGACAGAAACAUAUGGCUCCAAUAACUCAUGAAGCCUCUUUUAACCUGCUGGUGAAACCUUGACCAUGUUCCCAUCAAUGGGAAGGUUUGAAGGCUGGAGGUUACAACUAACUUGACCAGGAUUAAACUUUUGCCUUGUGGAUCUGUGCGUGGCUUAAAUUUCCAAUUCUUUUUAAAGAUGCUGAAAAUGUGUAGUGCCCAUUCAUUUUCUGUAGGACCUCAAUAGGAUGUUCACAUUUCAAAAGACAAACUUUUUUAUCUGCUAACUUUGGAUAAGAAUUUAAGAGCAACUUUAGACUUUUAAAUUUGAUCUUUUAGCUACUCCAUUAAUUUAAGGAAGGCUACUACUUGUCCUACAUGUAGCUACUACUAAGGUGAGCAUAUAGAAACCACAACCUUGCAGUGCAAUCUAGCAAUUUGCUGAAAGUGCAGAUGUUCUUACUUGUUUACCAGUGAGCUGUCGGCUGGGAUUUCCUUUAUUCUGCUGUAUUAUUGCCUGCUUUCUCUUUUUGCUCUUGAUGUCAAUAAAAAGCUCAAUAUAAAAAUAAAAUUGUGAAAAUCAGAACUGGUGCGUGAAUAUGACAUUCAAGAGCUUAUUUUGCCUUUCUUUUUAAAGAGAGGUAAUAUUUGCUGAAUGUAAGCAGUAUGUAUGGCUCUGUGGGUGUGCAUACCAGUGCAUGUUUCUGAGUCUUUUUGCAAUAAACUACAUGAUCAUACUUUGGCUUUUUUGAUCCCAGAAUCUUAACACCACCUUCCAGCCAGUGACCCUAUAAUGAAUGUUGCAUUUACAUUACCAAAUCUCAUCACCAUAUGUCCGUGAGUGCUGUGGGGCUCAGAUCAGUUGAAGACUGCUGAAGUUAGGUCUGUGAAAUAAAAUACAACUCCUAUUCUUAAGUGAGGUAUUUCUGCAAAGAUUAUGUUUAACAAUAUGAAUGCCAAGGAGAAUCUCAUUUGAACUGGGUUUUUCAUAAGGAAAAUAGUUUGUUAAAUACUGACAGAGAGACUAAGUAAACUGCCUGAGGUUUAGUUUGUAAAUGUACAUACAACAAACACAGGAAGAUAGCUGUACUAGUUAAGAGAUUGUUACUAACUGCCAGGAUGCAUGUUUUUCAAUAAAGUUAUCCGUGUGCUUUGAGGAGAUAGUUCAGAUUGUAUUUCCUUAGAACGACUGAUGACAAAGGGCACAGAGCAGACACCCAGCCUGAAUUUGUGGAUGAGUCAUUCAGACACAAGUACCAAAUAAAUCCAAUUAUUUUCAUUGUACUCCUCUGAAAUGAUGGUUUAGUAUAUAGCCCAGCUGGGACAGAUUUUUGGACUAGCAUACAUAGUGUCAUUUUUAAUGCCUUAUGGGUUUCCUUUCUGAUUUAGUGAUUUUCUUAUAUCAUAAGAAGACUUAGUGAAGAUUUAAAUCUAAAAACAGUUUCAUACUUUUAUAAAUUUCUGUAUGUUACAUAUGCAUAUCUAUUUGCUCACCUGAAGAAAGGUAUGACAAAGAACCAUUUUUGUGUAUAGUUUAUCAAUUCUGCUGAAAAUAAUUAAUUAUUCAUUGUAAAGAAAGCUUUUUGUACAGGGUAAUUUAUUAUUUAUUCACAAAAAUUUUGACAAAUGAAGUUUGAAAGGUUUCAGAGGAUGACAUUUCUACCAUUAUCUUUGGAAGACUCUUGAUAAUCAGAGGAACACCAGUAUGAACUUUUUCCUUGAUUCACAGCCUACUUUCAAUAUGCCCCUUUUAUUUCAAUCUCUGUAAGGAAAAAAAUUACUUGAUUCUAAUGCUCUUUUGUUCCUCUAUCCAUUCAUGUGCUUGUCUAACAGUCCUCUAAUAAUUUCUGAACUGGCAGCCAAUUUUAACCAAAUUUGACUGAGGAUUAAAGGUCCCAAAACUAUUAAGGUCUUACACACUUCAUGAAAAUUGAUACUAAAGGAGAGAGACUCAAGUCAGUGCCCCACUGAGCAAAGCUCACUCACAGCUUGCCACAGGGAAUCUGCUUAACUGAUUGCAAGUUCUUGCUGGUAAAGUUAAACAAAUGUGCAUAUACUGGCUAUAUCAAGCCUUAAGUUUGUAGUGAACAACAGUACUGAGUUUUAAAGAUUUUGUAAUAAAAGUUUUUCUUGUGUUUUUUUGCA